rnacentral:lncRNA from 1 species
AAUUUUUCAAACAUGCAUGAAUUUCCUUGCUGUAGACCCCCUUUGAAGAGCCAAGGGGUAUUUAGUUUUUUUAUAUAUAUUAGAGGGGCUGGCAGCACCCGAGAGGUGUGUGGGGGACCCCUCUCCAUGCGUGGGACCAGCUGCAAGGGAUGCCAUGUUGGAGUUUGAGGAACCCAUACCUGCUGAGAGAUGAACAGGGAAGCAGGUAAUGGCUUGCCCGAGAAGGUAGGAAUCGGCUGGAGAGAAAGAGAUAGAAAAGAGAUAGAAGAGUGGGUUUUCAGAGAGAGUUCUUUUGGGUUUUGAGGGGGAAACAUUGUUUUUUUUUCAGAGGCGGGUUGCAGGAGGGCAGGCGACGGCUAAAAAAAAAAAAAGGGAGAACAGAGAGAGAUUGUGAUCUAGGGGAAAGGAGGCUACAGAGGGGGAAGAAGAAGUAGAGAAUCUGGAUACAUAAGUCCCGUUGGAAGGGAAGUUUUUUUUUCAGGUGCGCGUACUAGACUACAUAUCUAUUGUGGUUGAUUUCACUAGCAUUAUGGUGAUUGUGAUAUGAAUGAACGAUGCUUUUUUUUUCAUAUGCUACUUGAUUGAGAGUGAUUUAAUUCCUCAUAGCUUUCCUAUUUGCGUCUGAGUCACAUUCUUGGAUCUCGUUUUCAUCUCAUUCUUCCCACCCGUUCAUUGGAUGCUUUGUUUUAUUUUUCCUUUUUAUGCUUGCUCCCUUCUCGUUUAUACUCUGUUCUCGAUAGUCAUUUGUAUCCUCAAGGGGAAAGGGUUUUUGAAGACGAGCAGCAGUUGGGAGAUUUGAGGAGGAGGAAAUCUGGAAAAAGAGAAAAGGAAAGAGGGGAAGAUUAUUUUGAGGGCGUUUUGAGGCUGGCGUUUAAGGAUCUGAGGUUUUGGAAAAGAAGGGAUUUUUUUUUCAGAGGAAGAGAGUGGAGGUCCGGAUUUUUAGAAAGAAAAAAACCAAAGCUGAAAGGGGAGAGGGUGAUAUCUGGAGAGGAGAAAAACAAAGAAAAGGGAGAUAGAGACAGUCUGAGGGAGACGAAAAAAAAAAGCUGUGCUUGGGAGGAGCCUUUCCGAGAGAGAAAAGAAUUGGGCGGCUGGGGGAUUAUAAGACAAUGGGAUGCUUUUUAAAAGUUUUUAAUUCAAAUUGUUUUACUAGCAAGGCAUUUGGGUUCGUGCCUAUUUUUGACUUUGAGAAAAGCUCUCAAAGCCAUUUAUAUAUAUUUUUUUAUUAUUCCUUUCUUGCAUGGAAAUCAUAACAUGGCAGAAGACUUUUUGGUGGGUUUGAAUAUUUAUGUCCAUUUUUCUUUCUUUUGCUUUUUGGCGAACACGUUUUCACAAAUUGAAUUCUUAAAACAACUUUCAAAAUUUUAGUUUUUUUAAUCACUUCAAUCUUCAAAUUAAUUUUUCAAAAAUUCUAAUAUCCAAAUUUAAUUUCUAAAAUGUCAUCUUAAAAUAAAUCUUUCAAACAAAUUCUGAUUUCCAAAUUCAAUUCCUAAUUUCUGAAAUUCUAAUUUUUCGACUUUCAAACUUAAUUUCCAAUUUUCAAAAUUCUAAUUUAUUUCAAAUUUAAUUCCCAAAAUUCCAAUUCUUAAAUUUAAUUCCCAAAAUUCCAAUUUUCAAAUUUAAUUCCCAAAGCUCCAAUUUUCAAAUAAAUUCCAAAAAUCCGAUUUUCACGUGAACAGUUUUAAUUCUAUUCCGUUUCUCAAACCUUAUGUUUUCCUUGGUUUUACAUAAGUGUGAAUGCAAUUUUCAUAAUUCCAUAAUAAUGGAAUCUGUGAUAUUAAUUCAUGCAAAAUAAAUGGGUUUUGGUGGGGGCCCAACAUAUAUGUUUUCCUUAUGAUUGACUGAUUGUUUCUUUGAUUUAAUUGUCAUGCGUGAUUGAUGUUAUUCUGCUCUAUGACAUGCUCGGAAUUAUUCCUUAAUUGUGCACUAACGUCACUUCUUGAUAGCGCUUCAUGGAUCACUGCCCAGGUACGCAUCCACACCCGCUCGGGUCAUUUUCUAUACGCAUGUUUAGAUUCUCACAUGUGCAUGAUCACUCUGAGUAUUCAUUGAUUCCCUCAUCAAUUGUCAUGAUUGCUUCAUUUUAUUAGUAGAGACCCGUUUUUAGGGACUUAGAAGGGUGCUACGGUUUUUACCGUACCUUCCUGAUAAGUAACCUGACCCCCGAACCCGAUCCGGUUUUUCACAGACCACCUUUUCCAAAGUAAGGAGUCACACUUAGGGUUUUUCUUUCUUAUUUUGUUUACCCUUUAAAAAUAAAACAAAAAUAAGUGGCGACUCCAAGUUAGUUUUCUUAAUCAAAUAAAAAAUCAUUUUUCAAAUAAAAAUCGAGCUCGCCAUCGAGUGGGAAACGCAUGAGCCGAAAUGCGGGGUCCACACUUGCCUCAAUCUUUUUGAAUAUGAUUAAUUAGAAAGCAGUAUGACAAAUGUAAUAGGAAAAAUGUAUUUUCAUAUAUUCAUAUGAAAAAAGUCAUAAAAUAGAAAUUUAAAUUUAUAAAAUAUAAAUUUUAAGAGCUAUCUGAAAAUAAUUAAUAUUUCUAGUUUUGACCAAUUAUGUACUACAUUUUAAUAAAAUAAGUACCAUCUUUUAUCACCGUAAGUGUAUAAAAUUUGAAUUAGUUUUAAAGAAUUCUUAUUUUAUAAAUAUUUUUAUAUGAGUAUAUAAAAUAAAUUUUGGUUACGAUCUUUUUCACUAUAUUCUUUAUAAAAGAAUAUUAAUUUUUUUACGAUUUCUUGCUUAUUGUCAAAUUUUGAUCAAAGGGUGAUGGGUACUUGCCCUCAAAAUAAAUUUAAUGGUGGAUAAAGGAUGACUUGUGAUCAAAUGGCCAUCAUUUCCUUUGCUUACAUGGAGGGUGAAAGAAAUUUCUUUACAUGUAUGUUUUAAUCUUUCGUAUAUCUAUUUUAAUAUUAUUUCACAGUUCAGGCUUGUCUAAAGUUUUUGGGUCUAUUAUUUUCUUAUUUAGUGGAAGGCAAUUUUGUCGAGGUUAGUUCUUGAACUAAAGGAAAUUUAAACACUUUCUAAAGUGAAUUAAGAGUAUAUUUGGUAGAGAUUUUAUAAAGUAUUUUUAGACUUUUUAUACUAAAUUCUUUUUAUCUUUUAAAUAUUAAAAAAAACUAAAAAUACUUCCUAAAAUCGUUACUAAACACACACUAAUUGUACCAUCAUUAAACACUAGUGAAUAUGAAGCUUGCAACAAAAAUUUUCAAUAAUGGAAUAUUUAUUAAGCUAAACAUAAAGCAAGAACUAAAAGUCCCUACAAAAUUAAUUUUGAAAAUUUUAUUUUAAUUAUAUAUAAUUAAAUAAGAUAAAAACAUAUAAAUACAAAUUUUAAUAUGUAAAAAUAAAUAAACUUGAUUAAGUUAUUAAUAAAAACAAACAUACUUGAUAUUAAACUUUAUUCAAAUUUAAAUAUAAUAUUAAUUAAGUGUUGGAUUGUGAAGUUAAAUCAGUUUUGUUGCAUUUCAUUCGGGAUAUCGGAGGUUGAACUCUCGCUUAGCUUAACUCGUGAGGAUUGUGCUUCAUUAUAGUGUUUUUUUAUUUUUUAUUUUUUAUUAAUAAAUUAUUGAAUGUUUGAUGCACUCCAUGACAUGAAAUAGGGAUGCUCGGGUGGGCGACUGAGAGAGUGCAAUGCCACUGUUUAAGACAGGGUUGGGGCUCAAUCAUGGGCAUGGUCAAGCUUUUUAGUUGAUGUUAAAGGAUUGGAGUGACAAAACGUGGACGAAAUGAAUUCCCUUCAAGACAAAUGAUUUCUAUUGCUCAAAGUGAAGCAAUAUACUAAACCAAAUGCCACGAGUCAUGGGCCCUAGUAGAGAUGUGACACAUUGCAAUGCUGGGGUUGCACGGAUUCUCAAAAGGAGGUCGAAGCCAACACGGUGGGAGUUUGGUUGGAAAAUCAAAAAUGCCUUUAAGCGAAGCAAAAUACAAAACAACUCAUUUCAUGGCGAAAAAUAGAGAAAUCUUCCACCAGAUACCAAAAUGGUACCAUGAUUGAAUUAAACUUGUACGGAUAUCACAUGCUCUUCCAACUAAAUUGAGUGAUACCUAAGGACUUUAAUGCUUAUUGAAUAAAAAGCUUGAAAUAAUUAAAAAUAUGGAGAGAUAAGAUGACUUAAGG